CGUCUAUAUACGUAUAGCAUAUCAAUAAGCGGAGGAAAAGAAACUAACUAGGAUUCCCUCAGUAACGGCGAGUGAAGCGGGAAGAGCUCAAAUUUGAAAUCUUCAAGGUUUUACCUUGACGAAUUGUAGUUUAAAGAAGUGUUUUCUGUUGGAGUUUUGGUAAAAGUUCUUUGGAAAUAGGACAUCAUAGAGGGUGAGAAUCCCGUAUUUGACCAUUUCUUCCAGCUGUGUGAUACACUUUCAAAGAGUCGGAUUGUUUGGGAAUGCAGUCCAAAAUGGGUGGUAAAUUUCAUCUAAAGCUAAAUACUGGCGAGAGACCGAUAGCGAACAAGUACCGUGAGGGAAAGAUGAAAAGAACUUUGAAAAGAGAGUUAAACAGUACGUGAAAUUGUCAAAAGGGAAGCGUUUGACACCAGUGUUGUUUUCUCGAAAAUCAAUUAAAAAUGGUGGGAUUUUGUGUUGUAUUGACUUUAUCAGCUUUCUGCACUUUUUUCCUGUCUUUUUUAAUGCACUUUUCGUUUAACAAGUCAACAUCAAUUUCUUUUGUUGUAAAAGGGUCAUUGGAAGGUGGCUUUCUUUUCGGAGAAAGUGUUUAUAGCCUUUGACUUCUGCAAUCGGAGAGAUUGAGGUCUGCAGCGUAGAUCCUUCGGGGUUAGAUACAUUUGUGCUAAGUUAUAGCUUUUCAUAGACAACAUUGUUGACUAUGAUCAUCAUGUAGCUUACUCGCUUAUGUUAUUUUACCUACGCUUAGGAUGUUGAUCUGUAGUGCGUGCGC
rnacentral:rRNA from 1 species